rnacentral:misc_RNA from 1 species
GAAAUGCGAUAAGUAAUGUGAAUUGCAGAAUUCAGUGAAUCAUCGAAUCUUUGAACGCACAUUGCGCCCGCCAGUAUUCUGGCGGGCAUGCCUGUCCGAGCGUCAUUUCAACCAUCAAGCCCCCGGGCUUGUGUUGGGGACCUGCGGCUGCCCGCAGGCCCUGAAAACCAGUGGCGGGCUCGCUGUCACACCGAGCGUAGUAGCAAUCACCUCGCUCAGGGCGUGCUGCGGGUUCCGGCCGUUAAACAGCCUUACAAAACCCAAGGUUGACCUCGAAUCAGGUAGGAAUACCCGCUGAACUUAAGC